rnacentral:tRNA from 2 species
GGGGAUAUGGCGCAAUUGGUAGCGCGCUUCCAUGGCAUGGAAGAGGUUAGGGGUUCGAUUCCCCUUAUCUCCAC